rnacentral:rRNA from 1 species
UAACGGCGAGCGAACGGGGAAGAGCUCGUAGCCGAAUCCUGCACCGCGAGGUGCGGGAAAUGUGGCGUAUGGGAGGCGACAUUCUCCGAGUGCGGCCUGCGGCGCAAGUCCCCAUGAGAGGGGCAUCUUGCCCGUAGCGGGUGCUAGGCCCUUAACGCCUACGGUUCGCGCGCGGAGUCGUCGUUCUCCUCGGAGUCGGGUUGCUUGGGAGUGCAGCCCAAAGCGGGUGGUAAACUCCACCUAAAGCUAAAUACGACCGAGAGACCGAUAGCAAACAAGUACCAUGAGGGAAAGUUGAAAAGCACUUUGAAGAGAGAGUUCAAGAGUACGUGAAACCGUUCAGAGGUAAACGGGUGGGGCCUCGAAGUCCGAUGGCGGUGGCGGAUUCAGCCUGGAGCGAUAAUUGGAUCGAAAGGACGACGCCGCAGAAGCGGGACAGUCUUUAACGAGCCCGAUAACGCGCCGGCGCAUUUCCGUACCCCGCCCUAAAGGGCGUCGCGACGGGUUGGAAGGCCGUCGAAAGGGCCGGUCGGAAGGUGGCCACCUUUCCUUUUAGGAUCGGAGGUGUUAUAGACGACCGGGUCCCCGACGGUCGGCCGACCGUGGUGUAACCUUACGUUCCCUCCACGAGCGGAGCGGCUUGACGUGCGGUUAGUCGGUAGACGGAGGUGCCACCACGCUGUGAUCCCCCGUUCUCUCCGGCAAUCGUAUUCUUAGCCGCUGCGGAACAGAAGGUUGGCGGCGAGUAGGUCGGUUACCCACCCGACCCGUCUUGAAACACGGACCAAGGAGUCCACUGCUCGUGCGAGUUUCUGGGACUGGAUUAUGCCCGGGGGCGAAAUGAAGGUGAAGGGUUUUUAACCCUAGCUGGGAUCCCGUUAAAGCGGGCGCACCAGCGGCCCGCCUGUUAUCGUUUCCGGUAUGGCGGAGCUAGAGCACGAGCCGUGGGACCCGAAAGAUGGUGAACUAUGCCUGGGCAGGAUGAAGCCAGAGGAAACUCUGGUGGAGGUCCGUAGCGAUUCUGACGUGCAAAUCGAUCGUC